UACGGAGGGAGCUAGCGUUGUUCGGAAUUACUGGGCGUAAAGCGCACGUAGGCGGCUCUUCAAGUCAGAGGUGAAAGCCCGGGGCUCAACCCCGGAACUGCCUUUGAAACUAGGUUGCUAGAAUCUUGGAGAGGUCAGUGGAAUUCCGAGUGUAGAGGUGAAAUUCGUAGAUAUUCGGAAGAACACCAGUGGCGAAGGCGACUGACUGGACAAGUAUUGACGCUGAGGUGCGAAAGCGUGGGGAGCAAACAGG
rnacentral:rRNA from 1 species